CCAUAGCUCAGCUGGAUAGAGCAGCGGCCUUCUAAGCCGCAGGUCCCAGGUUCGAAUCCUGGUGG
rnacentral:tRNA from 1 species